ACGUAGCUCGCAACCGAAGCCCUAGUAAACGGCGGCCGUAACUAUGACGGUCCUAAGGUAGCGAAGUUCCUUGUCGGGUAAGUUCCGACCUGCAUGAAUGGCGUAAUGACUGGAGCACUGUCUCAACCACCGACCCGGUGAAAUUGUAGCCGUGGUGAAGAUGCCACGUUCCCGCGGUUAGACGGAAAGACCCCGUGCACCUUUACUGCAGCUUUAGAGUGGCAUUAGGAAAGAACUGUGUAGAAUAGGUGGGAGGCUUUGAAACUUGGGCGCCAGUCCGAGUGGAGCCAACCUGUGAAAUACCACCCUGUUGUUUUCUGAUGUCUAACCUAGGUCCGUUAUCCGGACCAGGGACCCUCUAUGGCGGGUAGUUUGACUGGGGCGGUCGCCUCCUAAAGAGUAACGGAGGCGCGCGAAGGUUCGCUCAG
rnacentral:rRNA from 13 species